AACGGAAACCGUUUAUUGUGAAUCGAAUUCCUCCUUGUUUUCUGCAUGGUACUCGGCGGUAAGUGACGGGGACAAUUCCGGCACGGUAUAGUCCGAUUUUGAGGAACAUAGGCAUGGCGAGAUCGAAAUGAGGACGAGGAGGGUUACACCACCCGCCGUCAUCGUUUGGUAAAGCGAAGUUCGGCGGGCAAAAAUUUGUCGCCGUCACGAAAAUGGAUGGAUUACCAGGAAGACACCAUUUGCCAUCGUUAUCACACUUUAAUUCAAAGCAGGCUCCGCAGCUUAGGCCAUUGUUAAAUAGCACUGUGCUUAACGCUGCAUUAUUAACUCCGUAACCUUGGCUGUAUAAAUUGCCAUAUCCACAAGCUCCACCCAUAGUUCCAGAUGCGUCAGAGCCACCGUAGAAGGUGGCGUGGGCGGUUUGCCAUGGUCCGCCGGUAUAAACGCCGGGGAUUCUGGCAUUGACGGCAGUGAGAAAACAGAGAAGAACAGUAAUAGUAAUGUAGAGCAUCAUAUUGGCAGCCAUUUUUCUCAUACUCACUCGCUUACUGCUCAGUGUUAAGAGAGAGAAAGUAGAGAGAGAGAAAUGGAAAACAAUUUUUUUUUUUUGGAGGUGAA
rnacentral:misc_RNA from 1 species